GACGAACGCUGGCGGCGUGCUUAACACAUGCAAGUCGAACGGAAAGGCCCUGCUUUUGUGGGGUGCUCGAGUGGCGAACGGGUGAGUAACACGUGAGUAACCUGCCCUUGACUUUGGGAUAACUUCAGGAAACUGGGGCUAAUACCGGAUAGGAGCUCCUGCUGCAUGGUGGGGGUUGGAAAGUUUCGGCGGUUGGGGAUGGACUCGCGGCUUAUCAGAUUGUUGGUGGGGUAGUGGCUUACCAAGGCUUUGACGGGUAGCCGGCCUGAGAGGGUGACCGGACACAUUGGGACUGGGAUACGGCCCAGACUCCUACGGGAGGCAGCAGUGGGGAAUAUUGCACAAUGGGCGGAAGCAUGAUGCAGCAACGCCGCGUGCGGGAUGACGGCCUUCGGGUUGGAAACCGAUUUCGCCUGUGACGAAGCGUGAGUGACGGUAAUGGGUAAAGAAGCACCGGCUAACUACGUG
rnacentral:rRNA from 1 species